rnacentral:pre_miRNA from 1 species
GAUUUACUCCCUCCUUCCCAUAUUAAGUGACUCAAAUUUGUCCAAAUAUGGAUGUAUCUAUGCCUAAAAAGCGUCUAGAUACAUGUAAUAGAAAGUCACUUAAUAUAGGAUGGAGGGAGUAGAUC